rnacentral:rRNA from 1 species
UACGGGGGGAGCAAGCGUUGUUCGGAUUUACUGGGCGUAAAGGGCGCGUAGGCGGCCACCGCAAGUCGACUGUGAAAUCUCCGGGCUCAACCCGGAAAUUGCCGUUGAUACUAUUAGUCUUGAAUUAAGUUGAGGUGGGCGGAAUAUGUCAUGUAGCGGUGAAAUGCUUAGAUAUGACAUAGAACACCGAUUGCGAAGGCAGCUCGCUAAACUUAUAUUGACGCUGAGGCACGAAAGCGUGGGGAGCAAACAGG